rnacentral:rRNA from 1 species
CAAUAGCGUAUAUUAAAGUUGUUGCGGUUAAAAAGCUCGUAGUUGGAUUUCUGCCGAGGACGACCGGUCCGCCCUCUGGGUGUGUAUCUGGUUUGGCCUGGGCAUCUUCUUGGAGAACGUAGCUGCACUUGACUGUGUGGUGCGGUGUCCAGGACUUUUACUUUGAGGAAAUUAGAGUGUUUCAAGCAGGCACACGCCUUGAAUACAUUAGCAUGGAAUAAUAAGAUAGGACCUCGGUUCUAUUUUGUUGGUUUCUAGAGCUGAGGUAAUGAUUAAUAGGGAUAGUUGGGGGCAUUCGUAUUUAACUGUCAGAGGUGAAAUUCUUGAAUUUGUUAAAGACGGACUACUGCGAAAGCAUUUGCCAAGGAUGUUUUCAUUGA